AGACGUCUACAUUAGAUACCCCCGUAGUCCCAGCCGUAAACCAUGCGCGUUAGGUGUAUCGGUGACCACGAGUCACCGAGGUGCCGAAGGGAAACCGUGAAACGUGCCGCCUGGGAAGUACGGCCGCAAGGCUGAAACUUAAAGGAAUUGGCGGGGGAGCACAACAACGGGUGGAGCCUGCGGUUUAAUUGGACUCAACGCCGGACAACUCACCGGGAACGACAGCAAUAUGUAGGCCAGGCUGAAGACCUUGCCUGAAUCGCUG
rnacentral:rRNA from 1 species